AUUGAACGCUUGCGUCAGGCCUAACACAUGCAAGUCGAGCGAGCUGCGGACGGGUUAGUAAUGUAUGGGGACUGCCCGAUAGAGGGGGAUAACUGCUGGAAACGGUAGCUAAUACCGCAUACUAUCGGAUAACCCAUAUGGGAUUAGCUAGUAGGUGUGGUAAUGGCUCACCUAGGCGACGAUACCUAGCUGGUCUGAGAGGAUGAUCAGCCACAAUGGGACUGAGACACGGCCCAGACUCAUACGGAGGCAGCAGUGGGGAAUAUUGCACAAUGGGCGCAAGACUGAAGCAGCCAUGCCGCGGGUAGGAAGAGGGCCCUAGGGUUGUAAAGUACUUUCAGUCGGGAGGCGUUACCGACAGAGGAAGCACCGGAUAACUCAGUGCCAGCAGCCGCGGUAUAA
rnacentral:rRNA from 1 species